rnacentral:rRNA from 1 species
GAUGAACGCUGGCGGCGUGCCUAAUACAUGCAAGUCGAGCGAACGGACGAGAAGCUUGCUUCUCUGAUGUUAGCGGCGGACGGGUGAGUAACACGUGGAUAACCUACCUAUAAGGCUGGGAUAACUUCGGGAAACCGGAGCUAAUACCGGAUGAUAUUUUGAACCGCAUGGUUCAAAAGUGAAAGACGGUCUUGCUGUCACUUAUAGAUGGAUCCGCGCUGCAUUAGCUAGUUGGUAAGGUAACGGCUUACCAAGGCAACGAUGCAUAGCCGACCUGAGAGGGUGAUCGGCCACACUGGAACUGAGACACGGUCCAGACUCCUACGGGAGGCAGCAGUAGGGAAUCUUCCACAAUGGGCGAAAGCCUGACGGAGCAACGCCGCGUGAGUGAUGAAGGUCUUCGGAUCGUAAAACUCUGUUAUUAGGGAAGAACAUAUGUGUAAGUAACUGUGCACAUCUUGACGGUACCUAAUCAGAAAGCCACGGCUAACUACGUG